ensembl:lncRNA
CAUUAAAGUACAUUUCAUUUCUAAUAGUAGCUUCUAAUGACUGAGAUCAGUCAUUUUUCACAUGUUCUAUAGGGGAAAUGUUAUGCUGUACAAGUUAUACAGUAUAUACAACCCUACAUCUAUGAACUGCUCCUAGAUGUAAAUGAGUGUGAUCAUGGUGCCAUGAAAUGGACUGGUGUCCCAUCCAGGCUCUACUCCUUCCUACACUCCUGACCUUGGAUCAGGAUACGCUCCUGACCUUGAUAAAGUGGUUGCUGAAGAUGAAUAGAUACGGGUUUCCUUUCAAAUAGGGUUCUAUGUAGAACCAGAUUAGGAACCUAAGAACCCUUUAGUUUUACAAUGAAUCUCUGAGGAGCCCUUUUUAACAAAUAGUGUGGACAUGAUAAGCUUUAUUGGUCCCUUCACUGUAAAUAUAAUUUAUUCAUAAGUGAGAUGGACAGUAGUCAUGUUCACCUUCUAAAAUAAACUCAAACAGAUGAUUGCCCGUCACACAUUCCUCAGUUUAGGUUAUUAAGAAUGCAUGGUAUAAAAAAUAAUUUGGAGAAAUGCAGUAGAUUUAAAAUAAAUAAAUAAAUAAAUAAAACACAAUAAACUGCAUUCAGUUGGAAAGUGAGAUGGUGUGAUGCAGUUUAUUUGAGAUGAUAUGAUGAUAAUUCUUGAUUGAUAAUAAACGUAACCAUAUCUGUUAGAUAUUCUGUGCUGUUGCUAAGCAAAUUAUCGUCUCAAAUCACUUUACAUUAAAGUUCUUUAGAAAGUGGGAACAGUUCCAGGCUGUUUUCUUUCGGUUGUUGUAAAUGGCUUUUGUCUUGUUCCAAACCAAGCUAAAACCCAGUGAGUGAGUGAUUCAAACUAAUGUUUGGAUUUCCAGACUGUAAUUAUACAGAUUAAGUAACGCCACUGACGAGAACCAGAUGUCAGCGGAUAUUGCUCAAAGCUUGCGGAGUAUCACUCAUUCAUCAGUCUGGAUGACUGUAUUGGUGACUGAACCCACCCUGAUCUUACAGCUGAUGAGUAUAUAAACUGUAGGAACCCAGAAGCAGAGAUACUGGAAUAAGUGGACCGAGCACUGAAGCAAGGAUGUGGACGUUGAGAACAGCACUGCUGGUGUCCCUCUUAGCAUUUGUUUUUUCCAAACCAUUUUAUCCAUGGAAUGGAAAUAGACGUCUGGCAAUAAACCAGGCAUUUCAGGACUCUGACUCCGUGGAAUCAAACGAAUCAAGCAACAGCUCAGACUCGGAUGAUUCAAAUUCAUCUUCUGAAUCUGAUACGUCUAAAUCCAGUGAAUCUAGUGGUUUGGAUACUAGCCACUCUGAAUCCAAUGAGUCUGCAUUGUCGGAGGAGAAUUUUCUCAUCACUGCUGAACCAGAGAUCACGAGCAGUAUAACUGUACUACCACCAUUGCCCACAGAAGGACACGUCACCUGUUAUACUCUACACCUGGAAACUCUAGAGUCUAGAGGAGACAACUUUUAGUUGCUGUACCUUAAAGCUUAACAUAGUGAAGUGAAUGUUUCGCUUUUACCAUUUAGUGAUUUGCUGGUCCUAUCAGGCAGUUUAAAUUUCUAAAAGAAAUGUUCCUGAAUGUCCUAUAAAUGCAUAUAUGAGACACUUUUGAUUUUAUUUCAUUUUAUUUAGAUUUUUCUUUGGUUCAUUGCACCUUACUCACUUUUAUAAACUGAUUUUACAUAGCAGUAUUAUACCAAAGGUAAUAUAUAUUCUGAGUAUUCUACACUACGCAUGAGUGGUGGAAUCAAAUAUUUACAGUGCACCUUUGAUCUGUUAUGUUACAUUAAAUAAAAUUGUGAAACCAUUUACCAUUAGUGACGAGAGUCAAAUGUUCUGUUCAAUAUGCGCUUAAAUGCCAACUUAUCUGACAAAUGUGCCCUGCAUAUGGUUCUAGAGCUAAACUGAGGUUGAUGAAAAAAAAAAAAAAACAUGCACACAGUCAGUUUCAUGCGUAAUAAAUCUGGCUGGUCAUUUUAAACACAAGUAAACAUUUGUUUUAAUCAAAUGGCAACGAGAAUUCUUGAUGCAGGUAUUCUAUACUAUUCAGAAUUAAUGUAGGUCUUGACUUGUGACUGCUAUACACUACUCAUUACUGGUGGCUGCUCUGGCAUAUGUGGCACAUAUCUAUUUGAUAUGUUUAGUGUAGUUUUUAAGAAACUGAAUGAGUGUACGUCAAUUCCUCUUUGGAUCGGUUCUUUACUGAGUGUGUAAACAUCAUUUUUUGCAUUUGUACUUGUCUUUGAAUUUUCUGCUGUGGUCCAUGAAAACACAUCAUAUGGGUGACUCCACUAGCUACAUGUUAAACCUUCUAAUAAAUUACAAGUUUUAAAGUCUGGAGGAAAUAUUAAUAAUUGAAUAAAUUAAUAAUUAAUAAUUAUUGUUAUAUUAGAUCCUUAACUACAUAUGUGUAUGCAUGUUGGUGUUUUUGUGCCGAAUGCCCUGCUGAAAAAAACAAUAGAAACCCUCAUAGAAUUUGUAAUGGUUUUAAUGGUUA